rnacentral:rRNA from 1 species
GCGACUAAGCGUACACGGUGGAUGCCCUGGCAGUCAGAGGCGAUGAAGGACGUGCUAAUCUGCGAAAAGCGUCGGUAAGGUGAUAUGAACCGUUAUAACCGGCGAUGUCCGAAUGGGGAAACCCAGUGUGAUUCGUCACACUAUCGUUAACUGAAUACAUAGGUUAACGAGGCGAACCGGGGGAACUGAAACAUCUAAGUACCCCGAGGAAAAGAAAUCAACCGAGAUUCCCCCAGUAGCGGCGAGCGAACGGGGAGCAGCCCAGAGUCUGAAUCAGCUUGUGUGUUAGUGGAACGGUCUGGAAAGUCCGACGGUACAGGGUGAUAGUCCCGUACACCAAAAUGCACAGGCUGUGAACUCGAAGAGUAGGGCGGGACACGUGGUAUCCUGUCUGAAUAUGGGGGGACCAUCCUCCAAGGCUAAAUACUCCUGACUGACCGAUAGUGAACCAGUACCGUGAGGGAAAGGCGAAAAGAACCCCGGCGAGGGGAGUGAAAAAGAACCUGAAACCGUGUACGUACAAGCAGUGGGAGCACCUUCGGGUGUGACUGCGUACCUUUUGUAUAAUGGGUCAGCGACUUAUAUUCUGUAGCAAGGUUAACCGUAUAGGGGAGCCGCAGGGAAACCGAGUCUUAACUGGGCGUUAAGUUGCAGGGUAUAGACCCGAAACCCGGUGAUCUAGCCAUGGGCAGGUUGAAGGUUGGGUAACACUAACUGGAGGACCGAACCGACUAAUGUUGAAAAAUUAGCGGAUGACUUGUGGCUGGGGGUGAAAGGCCAAUCAAACCGGGAGAUAGCUGGUUCUCCCCGAAAGCUAUUUAGGUAGCGCCUCGUGAACUCAUCUUCGGGGGUAGAGCACUGUUUCGGCUAGGGGGUCAUCCCGACUUACCAACCCGAUGCAAACUACGAAUACCGAAGAAUGUUAUCACGGGAGACACACGGCGGGUGCUAACGUCCGUCGUGAAGAGGGAAACAACCCAGACCGCCAGCUAAGGUCCCAAAGUCAUGGUUAAGUGGGAAACGAUGUGGGAAGGCACAGACAGCCAGGAUGUUGGCUUAGAAGCAGCCAUCAUUUAAAGAAAGCGUAAUAGCUCACUGGUCGAGUCGGCCUGCGCGGAAGAUGUAACGGGGCUAAACCAUGCACCGAAGCUGCGGCAGCGACACUAUGUGUUGUUGGGUAGGGGAGCGUUCUGUAAGCCUGCGAAGGUGACCUGUGAGGGUUGCUGGAGGUAUCAGAAGUGCGAAUGCUGACAUAAGUAACGAUAAAGCGGGUGAAAAGCCCGCUCGCCGGAAGACCAAGGGUUCCUGUCCAACGUUAAUCGGGGCAGGGUGAGUCGACCCCUAAGGCGAGGCCGAAAGGCGUAGUCGAUGGGAAACAGGUUAAUAUUCCUGUACUUGGUGUUACUGCGAAGGGGGGACGGAGAAGGCUAUGUUAGCCGGGCGACGGUUGUCCCGGUUUAAGCAUGUAGGCUGGUUAUCCAGGCAAAUCCGGAUAAUCAAGGCUGAGGUGUGAUGACGAGGCACUACGGUGCUGAAGUAACAAAUGCCCUGCUUCCAGGAAAAGCCUCUAAGCAUCAGGUAACAUCAAAUCGUACCCCAAACCGACACAGGUGGUCAGGUAGAGAAUACCAAGGCGCUUGAGAGAACUCGGGUGAAGGAACUAGGCAAAAUGGUGCCGUAACUUCGGGAGAAGGCACGCUGGUGUGUAGGUGAAGCCCCUGCGGGUGGAGCUGAGACCAGUCGAAGAUACCAGCUGGCUGCAACUGUUUAUUAAAAACACAGCACUGUGCAAACACGAAAGUGGACGUAUACGGUGUGACGCCUGCCCGGUGCCGGAAGGUUAAUUGAUGGGGUUAUCCGUAAGGAGAAGCUCUUGAUCGAAGCCCCGGUAAACGGCGGCCGUAACUAUAACGGUCCUAAGGUAGCGAAAUUCCUUGUCGGGUAAGUUCCGACCUGCACGAAUGGCGUAAUGAUGGCCAGGCUGUCUCCACCCGAGACUCAGUGAAAUUGAACUCGCUGUGAAGAUGCAGUGUACCCGCGGCAAGACGGAAAGACCCCGUGAACCUUUACUAUAGCUUGACACUGAACAUUGAGCCUUGAUGUGUAGGAUAGGUGGGAGGCUUUGAAGCGUGGACGCCAGUCUGCGUGGAGCCAACCUUGAAAUACCACCCUUUAAUGUUUGAUGUUCUAACGUUGGCCCCUUACCGGGGUUGCGGACAGUGUCUGGUGGGUAGUUUGACUGGGGCGGUCUCCUCCCAAAGCGUAACGGAGGAGCACGAAGGUUAGCUAAUCCUGGUCGGACAUCAGGAGGUUAGUGCAAUGGCAUAAGCUAGCUUGACUGCGAGCGUGACGGCGCGAGCAGGUGCGAAAGCAGGUCAUAGUGAUCCGGUGGUUCUGAAUGGAAGGGCCAUCGCUCAACGGAUAAAAGGUACUCCGGGGAUAACAGGCUGAUACCGCCCAAGAGUUCAUAUCGACGGCGGUGUUUGGCACCUCGAUGUCGGCUCAUCACAUCCUGGGGCUGAAGUAGGUCCCAAGGGUAUGGCUGUUCGCCAUUUAAAGUGGUACGCGAGCUGGGUUUAGAACGUCGUGAGACAGUUCGGUCCCUAUCUGCCGUGGGCGCUGGAGAAUUGAGGGGGGCUGCUCCUAGUACGAGAGGACCGGAGUGGACGCAUCACUGGUGUUCGGGUUGUCAUGCCAAUGGCACUGCCCGGUAGCUAAAUGCGGAAGAGAUAAGUGCUGAAAGCAUCUAAGCACGAAACUUGCCCCGAGAUGAGUUCUCCCUGAGACUUUAAGUCUCCUGAAGGAACGUUGAAGACGACGACGUUGAUAGGCCGGGUGUGUAAGCGCAGCGAUGCGUUGAGCUAACCGGUACUAAUGAACCGUGAGGCUUAACCUU